GUGGGGAGGUCAAAUUUUAAGGGACGGGUGGUGGAAGAGGAAGAGUGGGGCAAUGGGGAUUGGUUUUCCAGGAUGGUGGUUCGGUUGGCAAUAUCGUGGAGUGUGUUGGAAAGGUUGGCUUGAGAGAGGAGGAGUUGUUCAAGUUUGAUGUUGAUUUUAGUGAGCUCAUCAUGGGAAGAAGGAGGAUCAGCCAUAGAGUACGGGCAAUGAAAGN
rnacentral:lncRNA from 1 species